GCUCAGGGUAGCUCAGUCAGUGUGGCAUGAGAGUCUUAAUAUCAGGCUUGUGGGUUCGAGCCCCAUGUUGAGCA